rnacentral:rRNA from 1 species
UACGAGGGGGGCUAGUGUUGUUCGGAAUCACUGGGCGUAAAGGGAGCGUAGGCGGGCUUUUAAGUUAGGUGUUUAAUCCCGGGGCCCAACCCCGGACAGGCACUUAAAACUGGGAGUCUUGAAUAGUGGAGAGGUCAGUGGAAUUGGGGGUGUAGCGGUGGAAUGCGUAGAGAUCCCCAAGAACACCAGUUGCGAAGGCGGCUGACUGGACACAUAUUGACGCUGAGGCUCGAAAGCAUGGGGAGCAAACAGG